UUCUUAUUCAGAGUGAUGGAGAUACAUAGGAUCUAUGAAGUCACGGCAACCCCUCUACGGAAGGUGCCUACCUGAGCGAGCAAAUAUUUGGAUGAUUU
rnacentral:ncRNA from 2 species